GCUUAAUUAGAUUUAACGCUGCUAAAGUCAACCUAAACUCGUAGUGUAGACCAGGCCUGUGACUCCAUGGCAAGAUUGUUAUAGUGAUCCCAGGAGUUCAUGUUUAGUACUGGGUUGGUGAAGUCUAAUUAUAAAACAUACCACCAGUUUGCUCUUAGGUAGCCACUCACGGUUGUGAGCCACUCCAGACAUGAUUGGUUGGCUCCCUGAUCUCUCUACCUGGCUGAGGCUGCUCUAACAUGCAGCAGGUACUUGGCUAUGUUUCCCAAGAGACACCCACCAGCUGGAGAGAGCCAGGAUACAUUAUGGUCCAACCACUCCCUCUAACAUUCUCCCUGUACCAGGGAGAAUGGCAAAGGAGCUAACCCGAGAAGUUCCCCAUACCAAGAGAACCCUCAGCAAGAGGGUUACGGCCAGUCUCUGCUCUUUGUGCCUUCUGAGUGGUGCAAAAGAAACAGAAUACUGACAAGAACGUGUCCCUAUAUCAUUUGAAAAAACAAAAUAGCUGAAGAUGUCUGCAGGCAAAUAUUAAUCAGGGCUUAUACUUAUAAUUGUUUAAACCCAUCAAAGACCUUUAGCUGUCCUUAAAAUUACUAUGAAAAAAAAAAUAGUGCUAUUACUAUGGGCAAGCAGCUGAAGACUGAAGUACAAUACAACUUGUUUAUAAUAUGUCCUCUGUGCACAGAUUUGCAGAAAAGAGAAUAUAAAUAGUGAACUGAAGUUCCACAGAUAAAAUAUGAUGAGCUUUAAAUUCCAUAGAAAAUUCACAGAAAUUUUAUCAAAUGGUUUCUGCAAAAUAUCUGUAGCAACUGGUUCCUCUCUACCAGCUAAUGAUCAUGAUAGAAUUGAUUUCAAUUGCAAUGAGUAAGGGAGGAAAGUGCUGGAAAGCUCAUUUCAGUGACAGGGUUCUGCUCAGCACCCAAGUAUUAGAAGUCAAUCAAUAAGCCAUGGAGUACCAGGGAACAUUCAGCUAGAAACAUGAGAAUUAAAACAUCUCACAAGAGUCCCAGUAGGAGAUUAUGGCCUUUCCAGUGGAGAACAGCAAAUCCACAGGAUUCUGUAGAUUUUUUUCUGAGAUGCAGAUUUCCAGUGGCCUUAAUCAUGAGAAAAAGAGAGGGUUUUAAGAUGAGAUCUAAGGUAUGGAAGUGACUCACUUAUUCGGAGAGUUCCAGACAGAUGAUGCAAUGUAAGCAAAAGAGAACUCUCUGUCUGAGAGGAAGAGACAGAAAGGAGCAUGUGGAGAAUGAAGUGAUAUGAGGUCAAGGAAAUAGGGUGGAGUAAGUCCAUGGAGAUUUUUGAAAGCCAGGAGAAUAGUUAUGGAGUUGAUUUGGAAACUGAUAAAGAAGCAUUUUGACAACGUAACUGCAACCGUAGGUUCGCCUUCAUUGAGAUUCUUUACUGGUUAUACACUAGGACAAAUUUAGGAAAUCAGAGCUAAUGGACAGAUUGACAGACAAAGGAGAUGUGGAAGUAAAAGAAAGUAAGAGACUUAGGAUAAUUUGAAAACUUCUAGCCUUUGGAGAAAAGCUCACAUCUGAGUUCGAGAGAAUGAUAGUGGAUUCAGAGAUGUUGAACAAGCGCUACCUUUUGUACCCAAAAGCAAAAACUUCAGUCUUUGAAGCAUUCAGUAGUGUGAAGUUAGAGUGUAACCAGGAUUUAGCAGACAAGAAAAGAAGAGUGAAAACCAAAAGACCAGUUAGUAAAUUGAGGGAAACUGAACUAUUAUCCUAACAGGAGUGAGGUCCAGACAAGGAGCUAACAGUGAGGUGCACCAGAGACAGAAGACAGAUAAAGAAGGAGAUGAUGAAGAUGUAAAGAUCACCGGGAGAAGACAGACUAAAGGCCUCUAUUGAAAUGAGAGUGAAAUAGUCUAUAACAGAAAUGCUGACAAUAGAAUACACUGGAGGUAGUGAGCUACUGGAGACUUUCAGAGGGUUUGACUUGACUUGGACUUAAAGGUGUAUGAGGGGCUUGCUGCAGCACCAGAGUUGAAGGCAUCUGAUGAUGUAGUGCCGGGGAGGAAGAGCGGCCUGACGCAGAUCUCGCUCUCUCCCCGUCUUCUUUCGCCGUUGGUACUGGUACUGCUUGUCUUGAUGUUUGCAGUGCUUCUUCUUGAGCACUGGGGAAGAUGCCCGGUGCCGAAAGUCCUGGGUCGAUGGAGAAGCGCUCUGCACCAAUGCUGAGGUACUUGGUGCCAAGUCCGAGUGUGGCUCUGAGGUAGGUCUUUAAAGCCACCUCUAUGAGAGGACCUUCAGUCAAGUGUCUUGGUCCUUCUUGGUCCAUGGUUUACACUAAAGAGUGGAGGAAAAAAACCCAUCAAGACAAGGAUUGCCUGAGCACUGAGGGGUUCCAGCAACCAUUACUGGUGGUAAGAAGGUAGGGUGACCAGAUGAUAACUCCAAAAUAUCGGGACCGCCGCAGGGGGAGCGCCUUUGGCGGCACUUUGGUGGUGGGUAAUAAACCUUGCUGCCAAAGAAAGAAGUACUGUACCUACCGCCGAAAUGCCGCCAAAGGACCCCUAAAGGACUCCACACCCUAUAUCUUGAGGCAGGUGCAGAGUCCUUUAGGGGAAGGGAAGCAACUGGGAUAGUGCAAUGAGAAUAAGAGGUGGGGGGGAACAUUAAGCUCAGAGAUCCAGGCAGCAGCAGUGGGGUCAGUACAAACCGGUUCCUAGCCGUUCAUAGCGCUAGUGCUGCUUUCCCUCCCCUCCCCAUUUGACACAGGGAGGGCAGGGAUGGGUCCUGGCUGAGUGAGUGUAACAAUUGAAAAGGCGCUCCCCCUGCCUGUCACCGCCACCUAAGCAAAAAAAACUAAAAUAAUAAUAAAAAAAAAAAGGCUGCCAUGCCCGAAACAAAAUAUCGGGACAAAUGGUGUCCCGACCGUACAAACUGCUCGAUAUCAGUCUACUUUUAUUUUUUAUUUUAUUUUAUUUUGGUGUUCUGUCAUGUAAUUUAAAUGAAAAUCCAGGAUUAUAACUGGAAUUCAGGGUAUUAGUUACAAAUACUUCGUAACUAUCAUUCAUGUGUUUAAGAAAUCCUGAAUAGUUAAUGUGAUUUUUUUCAGUAUUGUAGUUUAAAUAACUUAUCAAAACAAUUGAAACUGGUGUGAUGAUGUUGAAUUAUUUUGACAAAUAAAAUGUGCAGAAUUUUUAAUUUUUUGGUGCAGAAUCCCCCCAGGAGGAAUAUAUAAGAAUAAUAGAUAUAUGUGGGAGAGGGACUAAUAGUGGGUAAAAAAAAAAAAAAAAUCUGUCAAAUAUUUCAUUGAAAUAUAUUCAUGAAAUUCAUUGAAUAAAUUUGCUGAAUAUGUUCAUUAACUAUUCAGCCAGCUGUGUACUUUGGAUGAAUGAUAGGGAAAAUAUUCAAAUCAUGUAUUUGAGAACUAUCAUAAAAUUGAUUAAAUAAACUAUUAUUCAGCCAGCUC